rnacentral:rRNA from 1 species
AAUCAACGCUGGCGGCGUGCCUCAGACAUGCAAGUCGAACGCGAAAGUCCCCUUCGGGGGACAAGUAGAGUGGCGCACGGGUGAGUAACACGUAGGUAAUCUACCUUCGGAUGGGGAAUAACAACCGGAAACGGUUGCGUAAUACCGCAUAAAUGCAGCGGCACCUAAUGGUGACAGGUUGUUAAAGGCGGGGGAUUGAAAGACCUCGCGUCUGAAGAGGAGCCUGCGGCGGAUUAGCUU